rnacentral:rRNA from 1 species
CUGCAGUCGAGCGAGACCUUCGGGUCUAGCGGCGGACGGGUUAGUAACGCGUGGGAACGUGCCCUUCUCUGCGGAAUAGCCACUGGAAACGGUGAGUAAUACCGCAUACGCCCUUCGGGGGAAAGAUUUAUCGGAGAAGGAUCGGCCCGCGUUAGAUUAGAUAGUUGGUGGGGUAACGGCCUACCAAGUCUACGAUCUAUAGCUGGUUUUAGAGGAUGAUCAGCAACACUGGGACUGAGACACGGCCCAGACUCCUACGGGAGGCAGCAGUGGGGAAUCUUAGACAAUGGGCGCAAGCCUGAUCUAGCCAUGCCGCGUGUGUGAUGAAGGUCUUAGGAUCGUAAAGCACUUUCGCCAGGGAUGAUAAUGACAGUACCUGGUAAAGAAACCCCGGCUAACUCCGUGCCAGCAGCCGCGGUAAUACGGAGGGGGUUAGCGUUGUUCGGAAUUACUGGGCGUAAAGCGCGCGUAGGCGGAUUGGAAAGUUGGGGGUGAAAUCCCGGGGCUCAACCCCGGAACUGCCUCCAAAACUAUCAGUCUAGAGUUCGAGAGAGGUGAGUGGAAUUCCAAGUGUAGAGGUGAAAUUCGUAGAUAUUUGGAGGAACACCAGUGGCGAAGGCGGCUCACUGGCUCGAUACUGACGCUGAGGUGCGAAAGUGUGGGGAGCAAACAGGAUUAGAUACCCUGGUAGUCCACACCGUAAACGAUGAAUGCCAGUCGUCGGGCAGUAUACUGUUCGGUGACACACCUAACGGAUUAAGCAUUCCGCCUGGGGAGUACGGUCGCAAGAUUAAAACUCAAAGGAAUUGACGGGGGGCCCGCACAAG